UGGUGGAGGCAUGUGGUUUAAUUCGAUGCAACGCGAAGAACCUUACCUACUCUUGACAUCCACAGAACUUAGCAGAGAUGCUUCGGUGCCUUCGGGAACUGUGAGACAGGUGCUGCAUGGCUGUCGUCAGCUCGUGUUGUGAAAUGUUGGGUUAAGUCCCGCAACGAGCGCAACCCUUAUCCUUUGUUGCCAGCACGUAAUGGUGGGAACUCAAGGGAGACUGCCGGUGACAAACCGGAGGAAGGUGGGGAUGACGUCAAGUCAUCAUGGCCCUUACGAGUAGGGCUACACACGUGCUACAAUGGCAGAUACAAAGUGAAGCGAACUCGCGAGAGCAAGCGGACCACAUAAAGUCUGUCGUAGUCCGGAUUGGAGUCUGCAACUCGACUCCANGAAGUNGGA
rnacentral:rRNA from 1 species